GUCCAUGCCGUAAACGAUGUCUACUAGCCGUUGGGCCUUUGAGGCUUUAGUGGCGCAGCUAACGCGAUAAGUAGACCGCCUGGGGAGUACGGUCGCAAGACUAAACUCAAAUGAAUUGACGGGGCCCGCACAAGCGGUGGAGCAUGUGGUUUAAUUCGAUGCAACGCGAAGAACCUUACCUGGUCUUGACAUAGUAAGAACUUUCCAGAGAUGGAUUGGUGCCUUCGGGAACUUACAUACAGGUGCUGCAUGGCUGUCGU
rnacentral:rRNA from 1 species